rnacentral:rRNA from 1 species
UGGGGAAUAUUGCACAAUGGGCGAAAGCCUGAUGCAGCCAUGCCGCGUGUGUGAAGAAGGCCUUAGGGUUGUAAAGCACUUUCAGCGAGGAGGAAAGGUUGUUAGUUAAUACCUGACAGCUGUGACGUUACUCGCAGAAGAAGCACCGGCUAACUCCGUGCCAGCAGCCGCGGUAAUACGGAGGGUGCGAGCGUUAAUCGGAAUUACUGGGCGUAAAGCGUGCGUAGGCGGCUACUUAAGUUGGAUGUGAAAGCCCCGGGCUCAACCUGGGAACUGCAUCCAAAACUGAGUGGCUAGAGUGCGAGAGAGGAGUGUGGAAUUUCCUGUGUAGCGGUGAAAUGCGUAGAUAUAGGAAGGAACACCAGUGGCGAAGGCGACACUCUGGCUUGACACUGACGCUGAGGUACGAAAGCGUGGGGAGCAAACAGGAUUAGAUCCCCUGGUAGUCCACGCCGUAAACGAUGUCUACUAGUUGUCCGUUGUCUUGUACGAUGGGUAACGAAGCUAACGCGAUAAGUAGACCGCCUGGGGAGUACGGCCGCAAGGUUA